ACCCGUAACAACCUUGUAAUGAUGG
rnacentral:siRNA from 1 species